UUUAAAAGAUUACGUCUUAAUUAAAUUAUUUAAGAAUAUGGUUCUGAGAGAUUUAUUCCAAUAGUUAUAUGAUAGAAAAAUCAUUCAUUUAAAUUAUAUAAUUAUUCAUAAUUAUUAUUAAUUUGAAUUCAAUAUUAAAUAUGUUUUAAAUAGUAUAUUCCGUCUUAUAUUUACCCUCAUACAUUGGUGUUUCUUACCACAAAGCACAAUGUUUUGCAGCCACACUAUUCCUGUCACAGAUUAAAUGAAGGUUCAGAUCUCCUCAGUGAUGUGUGGCUCAGCACAGAAUACAACCUGUCUUCACCUGUGAAGAGCAUUUUCGUUUUAAGUCCCAGCUACUACCAUACACAUAGCCCUACAUGUCAUGUUUAAUGCAUGUAGCACAGAGCUCGGCUCUAGACAUCUUUUCUGCUCUCACUGAAUUACAUUGCUAAGCCUUUUGUUCCUCGGCCGAGGAACACAUUACAGAAAUCAAGGAAGCGAACACAUUUCUGUAAAAGCACAUAAAUCUGAUGAGAUUGCUUGAAGCAGGGUCUGAAUUUCUACAGUUAGAACAUCUGGCACCUGUCUUGACUGAAGAGGUCCCUCUGCCCCCUCUGUUCUGGACAAUCAUUGUUCUCUGCAUCUGCUGGCCACUGGAGAUGUUGCCCUGGAAACGGUGUUCACAGGAUGGUCGGGGACAGCCGGGAAGAAGCAGCCAGAGAAGACGAGACGAGUUGGACCUCCGUGGCGACUCGGACAGAUCUCCAUUCUAUGGGGACACCUGCUGGGAGUCUUGGCUUAGAGGAAGUGGAGCGGAGCUGAGAGACAGCCGUAAAGGUUGGCACGGAGAGGCAGGCAGGCAGGUGCGGGAUCCGGCAGGCUGGAUGCUGUCCUCCCCCCUCCCCUCCUUUUCCUCCCCCAUUAAAACGGCCAAGAGCACCUGACAGGUGGGAAGAGGGGAGGAAGCCGUGGCUUUGGAACAGGGACAGGGCUCACACUGCUGUCCAAACAGGAGACUUGCUGGGUAGAGUGAUCUGAGAGGAUUUGUAGCAGAAGGGGGCUGGUGGACAGAGGGAGCUGACGGUCUGUUUGCGUCCAUGUGCACAUGUUUGUGUGUGGCGCAGCACUAGUCCAGUCAAACCAGAUAACAAGCGUCCAUCUCUCCAUGCUGUGCUCAGAUAUGGGCGCAAGGACAUGUUUUGAUUACUGCUAUCUGCUUGGGCAGCUGUAAGUUGUGCUCUGGAAGUGCUUUUGGCAUCCAAACACUAAAUUACAGACUUAAAGUGUAAAGUGGAGCAAGGUGACCUGAGGUGAAGAUAUCUUUCAGACAAAAAGAAACAUCAAGUAAUUUUCUUAAAUGACAGGGUGUCUUAAAAAGCAUUUUCUAAUCUGUCCUGUGUGAGAGACUGAGAGGUCUCACUCUCUGUGACACUGAAAUCAAGUGUUUGUUCUGCGUGGAUGACCUGGUUCUGCCUCUCACAGAAGGAUGGCAGACCCCGCUAGAGCAGUAGAGUGGACAUCGACUAUCAAUCUGGACAAAACCUGUCCAGCACUCCAAAAGAGAGCCAGUUCUUGAAGCAACAGAUGCUAGUUCUACAAUCAUUUGGAGGACAAAUAGUACAACACAUAACCUCUUAACGAUAACAAACACGAUUACUAACAACCCUUAACACAUACAAAAAGAAUGAUAGACUUCAACUAAACAAUCAUUUGAAAAUAUUCAUGUAAACAUGCACGUCAUGCAGGUAAUGAAUGAGAACAACCCCUAAACCAUAAAACAACAGGGCUCUCAUCAACGAUAACUUAAAAAAGGGUGAAAUAACAUUAUAUAACAUACACUCACCGGCCACUUUAUUAGGUACACCUUGCUAGUACCGGGUUGGACUCCCUUUUGCCUUAAUUCUUUAUGAAUUGAUUCAACAAGGUGCUGGAAACAUUCCUCAGAGAUGUUGGUCCAUAUUGACAUGAUAGCAUGUUGCUGCAGAUUUGUCGGCUUCACAUCCAUGAUGCAAAUCUCCCAUUCCACCACGUCCCAAAGGUGAUCUAUUGGAUUGAGAUCUGGUGACUGUGGAGGCCAUUUGGGUGUAGUGAACUCAUGUUCAAGAAACCAGUUUGAGAUGAUUUGAGCUUUGUGACAUGGCGUUAUCCUGCUAGAAGUAGCCAUCAGAAGAUGGGUACACGGUAGUCAUAAAGGGAUGGACAUGGUCAGUAACAAUACUCAGGUAGGUUGUGGCAUUUAAAUUAUGCUCAAUUGGUACUAAGGGGCCCAAAGUGUGCCAAACAAUAUCCCCCACACCAGAACACCACCACCACCAGUCUGAACCAUUGAUACAAGGCAGAAUGGAUCCAUGCUUUCAUGUUGUUUACGCCAAAUUCUGACCCUGCCAUCUGAAUGUUGCAGCAGAAAUUGAGACUCAUGAGACCAGGCAGUGUUUUUACAAUCUGUCAUUGUCCAACGUUGGUGAGCCCAUGUGAAUUGUAGCCUCAGAUUCCUGUUCUUAGCUGACAGGAGUGGCACUUGGUGUGGUCUUCUGCUGCUGUAGCCCAUCUGCUUCAAGGUUCAAUGUGUUGUGUGUUCAGAGAUGCUCUUCUGCUUGUAACGAGUGGUUAUUUGAGUUAGUGUUGCCUUUCUAUCAGCUCAAACCAGUCUGGCCAUUCUCCUCUGACCUCAAGCAUCAACAAGGCAUUUUCGCCCACAGAACUGCCACUCACUGGAUAUUUUCUCUUUUUCAGACCAUUCUCUGUAAACACUAGAGAUGUUUGUGCACGAAAAUCACAGUAUCAGCAGUUUCUGAAAUAAUCAGACCAGCCCGUCUGGCACCAACAACCAUGCCAUGUUCAAAGUCACUUAAAUCACCUUUUUUUCCCAUUCUGAUGCUUAGUCUGAACUUCAGCAGAUCGUUCAGCAGUUGCUGCCAAGUUAUUGGCUGAUUAGAUAUUUGCAUUAAUGAGCAGUUGAACAGGUGUAUCAAAUAAAGUGGCCAGUGAGUGUAUAUAGCCUAUCAAUAACAAGCACAAUAAUGGAUAAAAAUGUGUUCCCUCAAUAGCAGAAACUAUUGCAAAUUAAAACACUAAAAUACAAACUAAAAACAAGAAUUAACAAUAAGCUACAAGUUGUAGUGACUCAUGGGAUAAUCAACUGCCCCCAUGUCUAUAUACCACUAAAAUACUUGAUAAAAUUGUUUUAUUUGAUCCUAAAAGGAAAAUCAAACCAGCCAACAGAAUCAAACCAGUGUCAAUCUGAUGUCAAAAUCAAUUGUUAAAAAUGGGAGAAAAUAUUAGCUGGAAUUUCGAAACAUGCUCCUACAUUUUGAGGGCACAUUGAAGUGGUUCAAAUAAUCUCAGCAGGGCAGAAGUGGGACUCAACCCUCAGCAAAUGGAAAAAUGAAAAAGACCUUUAUAAUUAUCAGCAUCACCUCAAUCAAAAUCAUCCGCAUUUUAAUAAAUAUAUAAAGCCCUCAUUUGUCAAUCAAAUCUCUACAGUCACAUUCCCUAAACACACAAGUGGUUCACAAAAUGACAAACAUCCCUCAAAUUGACCUCAAUUGCAGGAGUUAUUAAUAAAACUUAAAACUUAAAACCUAAUAAAACUAUAACUUAAAAAAAAAAUCCAAACAUAAUAUAUAUUUUUAAAGAAUGAAAUCUCAAAUAAAUCACACUUACAUUAUCUGACCAUAAUGAGAUUCAUCUAUAUUGCACUGCUCUCGAUAAUUCUGAUUGGAUUGGUCAAAUAGUUUUAGAUAAAUACACUAACCUGUGUUUGUGACAGCUGUUCCUGGCACACAAUUUCCAAUACUGUAGUUUCAUGUUUUGUGUCUCUUUUUCCUAAUAUAGUACAAUAAUUUUAACUCAAAUUCAAAUCUCAGAAGUCCUUACAAAACACGGUGACAACAAGUUGCUGUAGUUAAACUCCUAAAUUGCUCUGUUGCUCGUACAAAUCUGUAUAUAAAUAACAUGGUAAUUAGCUGCACUGAUCUUUGAACUUUGAGAGAGGGACAAUGACACAAUGUGAGAGACCUCUGAUCCAUGUCUGGGCUAGAUUGUGCCUUUUUACUGGUACAUGCUGUGGGCCAGUAGGUUAUACAUCAAUAGGACUGCUGAUAGGACCAAUUAUGGUGCAUGAGAAAGUCUGCUGUGUGUAGGUGUGUGUGAGCGAGCAUCUCAGCUGAGGGUGUGUGUGUGUAGCUGUGUGGGAGGGGAGGCGAUUCUGCCAUCUGGUCCAGGGCAGCAGCAGAAAUAUCUAAAUUAAAUGGUUUCUCACUUCCAGAAGACCACCCAUAUUUAUUUAUAAAUAAAACAAUAUUUAAAUAAAAAAGAAAAACUUAAGUAGGUGAGAACUACUGUAGAAGGACAAAACAGGAGAACAAAAAUCAGUUACUAGAAAAGUGAACAUAUGAGUAGUUCUCUCUUUCUGUGUUCGCUGUACCUCAGAGUCAAGGAAACUACAUUCACAACCCAUUUACUUUCAUAGUCGAAUAUUUCAGAGUGAUUUGAUUUAACCCAUAAUGCAAAAGCAGUGUAAUAUCUUAAUGAAAACAGAACAGAUUGUUUUCAUUUAAUAUUUAUAUUUUUUAUUUUAGCUUUAUGUUAAAUAUUUAAUUUAUAUUUUACUUUAAACAAGCAAAAAAAAAAAAAUAAUAAUAAUUUAGUUAACAAUAACAACACUACUACACUCCUGCAAGAGGGUGAGAGAGAAAACAAGUACCCUUAAUGCACUACAACAUGAGCAGCCAAUAAGAUCUAUUUACAGUUCUGUCAUGACAACUCUCUGAGUGUUUGGCAUGGUAAUGGAUAUGACAGUGUUGAUAUGUUUGGUCUUGGCGGAAUAGAUCUGCUGUGCUGCUGCUGCUGUUGCUGUUGGUUAUUGCUGCGUGACUUGCUACUGCCUAUACAUACAUGACACACUGCUGUGAGCAAGUAAGACAUGCUGCUAUACAAUUUAGGAUACAUUAAUUACUUGUAGCAGAUCUAUACAGGUGGAGUUAAGGAAGGUGGAGGUUUUCUGAAAGCGGGCUGCAACUGCUACAGCAAAUACUAACCAAGUAUUUGAAGGUUGAGCAGCGAGCUAACUGGCUACUGAUACAGCAGGAACCAAUCAGCUGUGCCCUAGAGAAUGAUGUGAUUGCAAGCAGAUAAGGACCUAUCAACAUGCGCCAUCUAGAGUUUCAUGACAGAACUUUGUAUUUAGGCUAUGACGCUACAAUACAUAUUUGGCUAUAGCCUUUUCCUCCUCUCUUAACCUUGUACCAUCAGGUGCAGGGUGAUGUAAGAUUAAGGGACGUCUGUAACUCUUAUUUGGAUUCUGUAUAGAGAGAGCGAAACGCACGGCCACCUCUUUAUCACUGUAAACACAGUUGCAAGGUGACAUUAAACCUUUGAUUUGAUUUACAUGAUGACAGAAAAAAAGAAUUCAGAACAAAUACAGCAUUAACAUAAUGCAUUUUUUCCCUUUUUCAGCAUUAUGUUUGAAACUGGCACUCCCAUGAUACCAUUUAUCUGGACCUUAAUCAUGUGCAUGUCGUGUUUCCACUGUUUUGAGAGUGGCAAUUAGGAGAUAAGGAUGACAUUUUCAUUUGAUAAUUAUACCUACAAGGAAUUAUUAUCUUACAGGUAAGUUAAAUUAGCCUGUUACUUUUGAUAGUCAUGAUGGAAUACCUUUAUUUUCAUGUAAAUACUAAAUAAUGCACAACAAGAGACCAUCCAGACAUAAUCAGUGAAUAAUUAUGGUCAUCACAAAUAGUUUAAAUUGGAAAAGAAGAAAGAAUCAAAAAAGGUGGACUUUAGUAAUUUUUUAAAUUUAUGUUGCACUAUAUCUGAUAUUGCAUGGCUAUGAUUUUAAGUCAUUAUUUCAAAUCAAAGUGAUAUUUAUCAUUUUACAUACAUUUUAACAUCAAAUACCACUUGUUAAACCAAUCAGAAAGGCUUAUAUACAAUAUGGCACAAACAAGCAAAACAUUUUUUGUAGUGUAAGGAUACAGCUCAACAAUGGUAACACACAUACACAACAUGAUAUUACAGUGAAAUGUAACCCUACAACCAACUAUCAAUGUCUCCCUAAAACCAUUUUAUAUACUUUUACAGUUCUAGUGAGAAGUCAUCUCAAACUGACUUUGGAGUUGAGCCAAUCUCAGGCUACGUCCACACGAAGCCAGAGCUUACCCUAUCUAAUCUUUUUUUCUCAAGAAAUAUCUGCGUACACACGAAACCACUGAAACGACUCAAAACGAUGUAGUAUACAUGCCAGAUCAGUAUGUAGCGCUAAUUCUGCAAUAGAGAUACACUAAAAACAAAGAAUAAGACUUGGAGCAUGCACAUAAACCUUGCGCGCUGUAUACAAACUUUAGUAAAGCUUUAGGCGUUGUAGCUACUGCAGCACAAACACAAGCAUUUAGUACGCUAUUAUUGUUGUUGUUGCUGUUUUGUGCUGUUAGCAGUGACUGACUAGGGUCGUCACGUGGGGUGAUGACAUCAUCGCUUCACAAAAUAUACGGAUUGGCAAAUGCGGCAUUUUCAGAUUUAUCCACUCUAGGACCCGGUUUCAAAAAAUAGCAGUUUCACCUUCCGAAAACGCUGGAUCCGUGUGGACGAAACGCCUAUCCGAUACAAAAUUUGUGCGUAUACACAGAAACGUGUCUCCGUGUGGACGGGGCCUCAAAGAUUGCUGGGUAACCAGCAGUGCCACCGAUUUUUUAAAAGUACUAUUAAUGCUUAAAUGCUCUCUAAUCAGAAAAAAAUCAGAAAGGCCCUGUCCCAAAUGGCACCCUAAACACUUGCGGUCUUCCUACGAGUCCACACUUUCGUGGCGUGAAGCAGCUUUGACUGUCGGGAAGAAGUCUGCUACGGCAGCUGCUUCAGUGUGGGCUCGACAAAAGUGUGCAUCGAGGGUAACAUCGACCACAAAGUGGGUGCUCGCGAGCACCCAUCUGAAACCUAAAAUGAUAAAUAGGACACCCUACGGUCUCAACGAACAGCACACGGCAGCCGUUGUUAAACUUUUUGCAGCAUUAUUGCUAUCAUACCGGGUACUGACAACAUGUAAACUCUUGCAGGAUGAAUGCAUCUCUCAGCUCUUAAAUUAGAAUUAGCCGAUAGGUGUGUAGGGAAAUGCUCAUAUAGACUGGAAACAGAUCGCAGUCAAGCGGAGACAGGAUUGGCCAAGAGUCCUGUUUGUGGAGGAGUGUGUUUGCUAAGAGCGGACCUCAUGGAGAGCUGACCCUCUCACCCUGAGCCCACCAGCACAGAGCACAACCACCCACUCGUUCAUAUCGUUCUCUCACAAUCACAUACACACACACACCCACAGAUUUUACUUUAUUACACCAUCAUGUCACUACUUCUCUUCAGUCCAAAGAGUCCACCUUUACUACUCUAAACAAUCUGUUUCUCACCCACUGCCAUACAUGAGCUGCCCUCAGGGCAUUAGGAACCAAUUAUAUUAUGAUUCAUUUGCAUAUAUAAGACAUGUAUAGGCAAAAACUAUGGAUUUUUGGGGCAACGUAAUGAAAAAAGUGUAAUAAUAGGAGUAAUAAUUGGCAGCAUUUUCAUAAGAAUAUUGAUAUAUAAUUUCUUUCCCUAUUCACUUGCUGUGUCUCACAAAAUGCCUGAUUUACAUUUUGUAAGUCCUGGUGUCUUUUACAGUGGACGUAUAAAAUCAAUGUCCUGUUUCGUAACAGAAAUCAUUUUCUGAUUUGAAACUCCAUAAUUUCCUGAGCUGUUGAUUUAUGACAAUUUGAAAAUUAGUCAGAUUUCAAUGGUAAUUACAAAAUAUUAUAUUUCCAUUCCAUAAGAGUGCUAAAUUUGAUCAUUCAAUCAAUGUUAGUCAUUUUUAAAGACCAAAGAGAGGGAGUUGUCAUGGUGAAACCUCCAAAUAUUUGGUAUCUCUGAAAAUCCCUGAAUGUGACUUCCAGACUUCGUUCAGAGUCAGAGAAAUUUGUUAAAAUAUAAUGCGCACCUAAAAUCUCCUAUUUCCACCAAAACUGUUCGUCGGGAGCUCCACAGAUUCAAUAUUCAUGGUCGGGCUGCUAUAGCCAAACCUUUGGUCACUCGUGCCAACGCCAAAUGUUGGUUUCAGUGGUGCCAAGAGUGCAAAUCUUGGGUUGUGGACAAUGUGAAACAUGUAUUUAUCAAUGAUGGUUUGGGAUGCAAUAUCAUGACAUUCCCUACUGUGCUUGAUGAGCGUGUCACUGCCAAGGAUUACCAAACUAUUCUGGAGGACCACAUGCACCUAAUGGUUCAAACAUUGUACCGUGAAGAGGGUGCCGUGUAUCAGCAUGAUAAUGCUCUAAUACACACAGCAACACUUGUGACAGAAUGGUUUGAUGAACAUGAAGUGAAGGUGAACAUCUUCCAUGGCCUGCACAGUCAACAGAGCUAAAUAAUUUUGAGCCACUUUGGGAUAUUUUAGAGGAGCAAGUCAGAAAACGUUUUCCUCCACCAGCAUCACAUAGUGACCUGGCAACUGUUCUGGAAGAGGAAUGGCUCAAAAUCCCUAUGGCCACUAGGAAGGACUUGGAUCUGUCAUUCCCAAGAUGAAUUGAUGCCACAAAAGGAGGCCAUAUAAUGAAUUAUUGUGGUCUUAAACCAGGUGUUUCAGUGUCAUUGUCCAACCCAUGUAUAUAUAUAUAUACCUACUAUAUAAUAUAUAUAACCUACUACAGUAGGUCUCACCUGACUUUUAAAGAUGACCUAUUAUGCCCUUUUACAAAGUCUUGAUUUUGUUUUUGGGGUCUACUAGAAAAGGUUUUCAGGCUUGAAUGUUAAAAAAAACACCUUAUUUUUCACAUAUUUACUUCGUUACAGCACCUCUCUUCAUAGUUUGGAAUGCUCUGUUUAGUUCCUGUCUCUAUGAAGCCCCUCCUUAUGAAAAUGCACUGAUUGGUCAGCUGAAUCAGUGUGUUGUGAUUGGUCAACCACUUUGAGCGUGUUUCAGAAAUCUGGGGUGGAAAAAAACAAUCUUGUGGACAUGGUGACAACACAACCAGGCCUCGCCCCCUUUAUUUUGUGUAUGCCUUGGGCAGGAAUUAUUUAAAUAAGGGAUGUUGUGACAAUCAAGGUGUUUAAGGGAGUUCAGAAACAGUGCUUACUGAUAUAAAGAAUAACUCCCUUUGGAGUGGACCUUUUUCAUUACCAAACAGCAACAUUACACAAUGAAGAAAGUUGAAAAUGUAAAAAGGCAUAAUAUAUCCUCUUUAAAUGUCAAUUCAACGCUUUUAAUUAUCUUUUUUUUUUUUUUUUUUGGUAUUUCUCAAUAAAUAUUAAUAUAUGCAAUUCAUUGAUAGGCAUGCAAUGUAAUCAGUUAUAUUAAAAAAAAUGUAAAGAAUGGAUGGCCUUAUAGAAGAGAUUUUCACUCCUUUCCACUCAGGUCAUCACCCUCAAUACUUCAAAAUUCCCAUCGACCCAGGAGAUUUGAAGGUGUGUGGGGUUGUCUAACCAGGUGUAGGAGUAUUAGAAUGAGGGCUCGUUGUUCUGAGACUCUGUUCUGAGCUUCACAUUGGGAAAGGAGGCAGACAGUCUAUAAUGAACACACUUUUGUCAGGAGAAGGAGGAGGAUGAAGCUCUCUUCUGGCUUAAUAAAAGAGAGCAAGGAUGUCGUUAGGAUAACAAUAAUGAUGUUGUCCCCUUCUGCCAAUGACAUUUGUGGCAUUUAAAGAAAGAGAUGUGGAAGAGAGUGAAAGGAGGGGAAAAAAGGAAAACAACGGAAAUGUCGCUUCUCUCGGAGCAAGUCUGCCUAUCACUUUAUAGAAUUGGUGGAUCAUUAUAAAAAUUUAACUGGCUUUUUUCCUACACAGGGCAAUUAAAAAGCUCUCUCUGUCAUAUAUUUAUAUGAUAAUUCAUUUAUUUUUGUCCAG